UCAGUCGAUCCCCAACAACAUCCUUAUCCAUUCGCAUGCACCACCUUUUCCGAUUAGCCGGCUAAUGAGGAUCUCGUUGCUUUCCAUCAUGGAACUAAUUCCCAAGCCAUCUCCACUUCUCCAUUCAUUUCUUUGAAUUUGUCUUCAGGUAUUGGCGCAGUCGGUCAUUGCGUGUAGUGCGGGGACGCGUUCGUCGUGUUCUCAAGGAUGUGGAUCCUCGAAGACCUCGUCGAGUCUGGCAGAGCGGCCAUGGGGAUUAGCAGGUAAAACACGGCGGCUGCACUGCUCAAGCUCUUCAUGGCCGAUGGCUAGAGGUUUAUGGCAAAGGUGCUUCAGUUUGGCCCCGUGGAGGAGGCUGUGUGGGAACUGACAGAGUCACCCCCUAAUGGUGAAUUGUUGGAUCUGACAACUGAGAAUGGUGUUGCUGGGCAAAGCUAGCGGUCUGUACAACAGCAUAGAGGACCUUCAUUUGCUUAUAUCCGGAUCUACUAUCAAGUUACUGAAGCAAGACACCUUUUUUCUUUUGUUCUGGCAAAUUUGUCUCAGUGCAUUCAUCUUCUGAGUCAUCUGAUAUUGCAACAGAUCUUAGUCUCCUUUUAUUGCCACUACGGAGCUCACGUGAUGAUGAUGAUGAUAUUUUUUCUUGAAGCUUGUCUCUGUCUAAUGUAGAACCAUUGCUGUCACGCAGCUCCUCUCUCACAGGCACCAGUUCGCAGGAAGGUGAAAAUUUAUUAUUCUAUGACUGCAUACAUAUAUAUUUUAAAAAUUAUACACAUCUCUAAAAUUUGAAGUGUGUGUAGUCAAAAAAUCAAUCACCUUUUUAUCUGGCAUGUUUUGCUUCUUCAUUACCAUGGUGUCCACAUCAUCAUCCAUCAAUUCCGGUGCAACAAAUGUAAGAUCAAUUAGUCAUGGAAUUCUAAAGAUGGUACUUUAUUUUUGAAACAAAGGUAACGAACCUUUCCUCCUUGGCUUUAUCGUUCAAGUAGAGCAUUUCAAGCCUAUCAUCAGGCACAAAUGUUCUUUUUACUGCAUAGUUUUGUGUGCCAAAUGUGAGAUUACUAUCAUUGAGUUUGAAUCGAAAUAUAAGUUUUUUUUCCACAUAUUUGUUGAAUAAUCUUUGGCGCUUCUUCCGAUUUUCCAUCCAGCAAGUCCAGCAAGUUAGAUGUAGAUGUAUUAAGAAAUCUUGUAGCCUCCUCGUCAAAUAAUGUGCGACUUGUAGUAGACGUAUGGUCACUAAUUUGGAGCCGAAUAUGAUACCUAACAUACCAUUCAUGUUAGUCGAGAGUAAAUAUAAUAUAACUGUUCGUGUUCAUAUUUUAGUAAUAUAAUAUGCUUACCGAGGUGUGACCUUUUCUGGAUAUAUAUAUACCACCACUCUUGCAAUAGUACUUGUUGGUUUCCUUGGUAACCAAUUUGUGACAUUUAUCACAUGACAUGUACCACCAUAGAAUAUUUUCUUGCAACUGAUCUACUGUAGCUAUCGGUGUGAACACAAAAUCCUAAAAAUCAAUAAUAAAUGUUAGCAUUGGGUGGGGGUGGGUGAUUAAGCGACAUAUUUUAACUAAUAUUGAAUGAAUUGUCAAGACAGGUCUUAACUCAUUAUCAUGAAGAUUGAUGAUAUCAUUUAUUGGAAUUCCGAUGAAUUACCUGGUCUUGCUGGUUUCCAUGCCUCAUUGUAUUAAGUUCUUGUAAUGUUCUUGAUUACUUUUGUCUAUACUCAUCAUUUUUGUUAAGGUUUCUUGUGUUGAGUUCCUGUGCAUAUAUGAAGUAAAAAAGAAUAUGCAAUCUUGACUCAACAUCAGUCACUAUUCAUGAGUGAAAAAUAUAAAUUGUUAGUGUUUCAUACCUUUCAAGAAGUUCUUGUGUUUCUGGUGUAUCCGGAUCUAUAUAUAUUUUUGUGGCACUGGUUGACUUUAGGCACAAACCUAUUUAAUCAAUCAAUUAGAAUUUGUAAAUGAUAAGAAUAGCAUCUAAGAGUUAUGGACUUACCAUUGAAUCUCUGCACCAUCGUUGAUGUAAUAAUAAUGACAGUUUGGUUGCCGAUUACAUCCUUAGUCAAAAAAUUAGCAAACUUUCCCCACAAUGUGAUUCUGAUUUUAUCACCCCUGAAGAAUUUAACCAAAGAAGUUAGUGCUAAACACAUGGGGAAGACUUGGUUUAAUUUCAGACAUGCAUAUGCACUUACUCUAGCAAUAGAAUUUCAAUCUCGCGGAUAUAUGAGGGUUGUGGGUUCUUUUUUGUCAUUCUUGUCUCCACGGGCUUCAUUUUUGUUAGUAGUCCAAUGACAUCUGUGCAUUUGGAGAUUAGUGAUAUAACAUUUAGAAAUAUCAAUUAUUUGGAAGUCAUACAACUAUAAACAUACCCCAGCAUUGUGUAUCUUUUUCUGCCCUUUCUUCAAGUGUGUCCAUGGUAGCAAACUCGAAGCAAUAAUCUGGAAAAACUUCUGAAGACCCUUUUAUCUCCUUUACCUUUGUAUUGCAUGCAAAAAAUAUUUUAAUUUCAUUGCCGACUGGCUUGUAUUUUGUGGAUUCCACAACCUUACAAUUGCUGAAUGCAUAAAUAGAUUUCUCUUUGAUCUUUGAUCUAAAAGUGUCUAUUAGAUUCUUCCAGAUAGUAGCAUGGAUUGUUUCACCCUGUCAAAACAAUCAAGUAUGGUUAGUGACUGUUGCUUAAUCUGACAGAAAAAUUCCAGUUAGCUAUAUUGACAAAUAGACCUGCUCAUCCAUGAGUAUCAUAUCCAGGCUAAUAAGUUCAUCGGUAGUAGGGUUGAUUGAAUCCCAAAUUCUCAUUACUUUCACUUGAAUGUUCCAGUUCUGUCCCCUUGUAGUUUAGUCGUUCGACUUCUUGUAUGCCAUAGUGUUAUGUCUUCAAAAUCAAUAGGAAACAAUUUGUCAAUUGAUAUAGUAUUGAUAUUAGUAUUUAUGAAGAUUAUAAAAAAUCUUGCUAAAUAACAAUUACCAAAUCCGAUUGGAGCAAUUGGGCUUGGCUUUGUCGGGUGUCGGCGGGCGUUGGCGUGACUUCGUCGGACGUCUAGUGAAGCGUCGCUUCUUCUGAUGUCGACUGGAGCUAUUGGGCCUGUUGGGCUUGGCUUUGUCAGUAGUCGGUGGGCUUUCGCGUGACUUCGUCGGAUGUGAGUGAAGCGGCUCGAUGUGGCUUCUCGUGCUACCUAUGUAAACUUCAAUCUCUAUGGCCGGCGAGUCGUGUCUUUCAUGUGGGGUCGUGGUGGUGGUCAAUUUCUAAUUGUUUGUUGUGUGCUUGUGCGGCCGACUAUACUUGUUUAUAUAGGUUGAGGUGGGAGAGGUCGUGUGGAAAUCUUGUAUGUAUUCGUUCCUUUCUUGAACUUCCAUGAUGUGAGAUCUGGUGGUUGUCCUUAUUUGUUUAGGUUUGACUACUAUUUUUGGUAAUCUUUGACCCAUUAAUUUUUUUUAUGGCUUCACGUGAGGACGUUUCA